rnacentral:rRNA from 1 species
UACGGAGGAUGCAAGCGUUAUCCGGAAUCACUGGGCGUAAAGCGUCUGUAGGCGGUUUAAUAAGUCAACUGUUAAAUCUUGAGGCUCAACCUCAAAAUCGCAGUCGAAACUAUUAGGCUAGAGUAUAGUAGGGGUAGAGGGAAUUUCCAGUGGAGCGGUGAAAUGCGUAGAGAUUGGAAAGAACACCGAUGGCGAAGGCACUUUACUGGGCUAUUACUAACACUCAGAGACGAAAGCUAGGGUAGCAAAUGGG